GUUUGAUCAUGGCUCAGGAUGAACGUUGGCGGCGUGCCUAACACAUGCAAGUCGAACGGGAAGCCGAUUUCGGUCGGCAGAGAGUGGCGCACGGGUGCGUAACACGUAGCUCACCUGGCCCGAAGCGCGGGAUAACGCACCGAAAGGUGUGCUAAAACCGCAUAAGCUCACGAUCUGUAGAGGGUUGUGAGAAAAACGUUAGUGCUUCGGGAUGGGGCUGCGGCCCAUCAGCUAGUUGGUGCGGUAACGGCGUACCAAGGCGACGACGGGUAGGGGGCCUGAGAGGGUGGCCCCCCACACUGGGACUGAGACACGGCCCAGACUCCUACGGGAGGCAGCAGUGAGGGAUAUUGCACAAUGGGCGCAAGCCUGAUGCAGCGACGCCGCGUGGGUGAUGAAGGUCUUCGGAUCGUAAAACCCUUUUCUGCGUGACGAUGAUGACGGUAGCGCAGGAAUAAGUGUCGGCUAACUACGUGCCAGCAGCCGCGGUAAAACGUAGGACGCAAACGUUAUCCGGAAUUACUGGGCGUGAAGGGCGCGCAGGCGGUUGGAUUAGUGAGGCAUGAAAGCCCCAUGGCUAAACCUGGGGAGGUUGUCUGAGACUGUCUGACUAGAGUACGAUAGAGGGGUGUAGAAUUCCGCGUGUAGUGGUGAAAUGCGUAGAGAUGCGGAGGAAUACCAGAGGCGAAGGCGGCACCCUGGAUCGUAACUGACGCUGAGGCGCGAAAGCAUGGGUAGCGAACGGGAUUAGAAACCCCGGUAGUCCAUGCCGUAAACGAUGUGUACUCGAUGUUUCGGCCUACAUUGUAGGUUGAGUGUCUAACAAACGCGGUAAGUACACCGCCUGGGGAGUACGGUCGCAAGGCUAAAACUCAA
rnacentral:rRNA from 1 species